CGGCUUUCGGGCUCGGCGCAGUCUGCGGGCGGGAGGGCGCCGGCGAGGUGGCGAGGGCGGCUGGCGCGGGGGCGCGGGAGCCCCGGCUAAGCCCGGGGACGGGAGGGCGCCCCCUCCCAGCGCCCGAACCCAGGCAACUUCCCGCCGCCCGGGCAGGAGUUUCUCCGUAGCCCACGGACAUCCGGGAGGCUUGUGGAGGGCAGGCGGGUAACCCCCACUCCCACCCCACCUUUAUCCAGGGGCAGCCAGAGGAGCCAGCAGGUCGGGACUCGCUGAGGGGGCUCCACGCGGGGCCUCCCACGCACAGACAAAAAGAACAGCGUAUGACUCAGUUAAGGAGGUGGCAGUGUGGACAAAACACACAGAGAGCAAGAGGAUGAGCCUUCCACUAAAGGGACAGCGUCUGCUAUGUUGUCCAGGCUGGUCUCAAAUUCCUUGCCUCAAGCGAUCCAACUGCCUCAGCCUCCCGAGUCACUGGGAUUACAGGCAUGAAGACAUUGUUUUCAAGGGAUCACUCUGCUUUGUGGAGACUAGACUGUGAGGAGCAAGCCUCGAAAGGGGAGAGCUGUUUCGAGGUUCUCCACUGCAGCCUGCUCCACAGCCACGCCCUCCCAUCCAUGGCUACACACUCACAUUCUGGGCCUCUUCCCUGGACCAGAUUGCACAGCAGGGCCGCUCUCUCCAGUGCCUCCAGCUGGCCCCUGCUGACAAGUCCGUGUUGUGUCAUGUUGGGAGUCUGGGCAAGGCACGAGGGCCCCUCUCUAGCAGGUCCCGAUGGCUCCUCCACACCUUCAGGAAAAGCAAGAGAUAAACCAUUGCAUGCUGAGCUCUGCAGGGAACUGGAGGCGGACACCAUCCAUUCUGCAAACCUGCAAUGGUGACACUUCUGGAAUCUCCUUGCCUCUUCCAGGGCUGCAGCCUCUAAGGCAGGGCCCAAAGCAGGAUGGAGAUAAAGAUGCCCAGAAGAAACCAAAGCCUUCUUGGGGGAAACUGUAAGAAGUCAGGAGGGAAUUCUUUAUUAGAAAUUGAAGAUCCCGCUGGGCGUGGUGGCUCAUGCCUGUAAUCCCAGCACUUUGGGAGGCCGAGGUGGACAGAUCACCUGAGGUAGAAGUUCGAGACCAGCCUGGCCAACAUAGCAAAACCCCAUCUCUACUAAAAAUACAAAAAUUAGCCGGGCGUGAUGGCACGCACCUGUAAUCCCAGCUACUCAGGAAGCUAAGGCAGGAGAAUCACUUGAACUUGGGAGGUGGAGGUUGUAGUGAGCCAAGAUGGCGCCAUUGCACUCCAGCCUAGGCAACAAGAGCGAGACUCCAUCUCAAAAAAAAAAAAGAAAAAGAAAAGAAAAGAAAAAAAAAGAAAGAAAGAAGUUGAAGAUCAAAGCUGGAGACCAGGACUCUUGACAAAUCUGACCAGAUUUGAAACACACCUAAGAAAUGUAAGACUCAAUUAAUUCUACAUGAGCCUAAGAAUUAAACCAAAUAAAGAAUGACAACACAAGUAAUGAGGAUACUGGCUUAUGCCUAGGUGUUUGUAUUUCUUUAGGUCUAACUCCAACUGUAUAUCCUAUUUUAAAUUAAUAUUUGUUAUUCUUUGUUUUUUGUUAUUUUAAUAAAAAGCUCUAUUUAAAUGUAUUUAAAUAACAUUAGCCAGAUGUGGUGGCUCAUGCCUGUAAUCCCAGCACUUUGGGAGGCUGAGGCAGGUGGAUUGCUUGAGCUCAGGAGUUUGAGGACAGCCUGGCCAACAUGAUGGAACCACGUCUCUACAAAAAUACAAAAAUUAGCCAGGCAUGGUGGCACACACCUGUAGUCUCAGCUACUUGGGAGGCUGAGGUGGGAAGACUGCUUGAGCCUGGGAGGUUCAGGCUACCAUGAGCCUUGAUCACACCACUGCUCUCAAGCCAAGGCAACAGAGUGAGACCCCAUCUCAAAACAAAACAAAAAGAGAACACUAAUGCCGUUAGAAAAGAAUGCUUUCAUUACUAACACCACUGGGGAGCCAAGCAAUUCAAACCCGCCUGACUCCAUGUGGCAGCUUAUUUCAAGUACAGGCAAGGAGACUCAAAGGAAAUAAACAGUGUGUGGGGGUUCUAGCGAUGCAAACCUAUAAGGUUCUUGUAACUAUCAUAAUGCUUGAUCAAUACUUAUUAACAAACCACAUUCUAGGAGGAACAAGUUUUAAAAGCCUGAAAAUUGGACAGCCAACGUCCU
rnacentral:lncRNA from 1 species